AGACACCUACGCAGACGCGAAAGUGAAAGGGGGGCGACUGGGCCCGGCAGGCGGGCGGCCGGCGGCGCGCGGGCACGCGGCAGGGGACAGAGGAUGGAUGGGUGAACCCGGAUCCCGGGAUUCUCCCGCGCCCGCUGCCCCUCUGCGGAGCCUCCCCGGAGUCCCACGCCCCCACCCCGGCCACGGAGAUCACCACGUCAGGAGAUAUGUAUGCGUGUGCAUGUGUGUGCGCGCGUGUUCACGCGCGUGUGCGAGAUCUGGUCGUGCUUUACUUAUUAUGUGGUCCAUUAGGAACUGCUGUCUUUCUCCAUGAACUUACCUUCCUGAAUACCAUGAUGCUUUUAGGAAUGGGCACUUGGUUCAACCAGGACAAAUGGAAUCUUUCUCUUGAUUUUUUGGAGCUGAAGAACGAGGAUGGUGAAAAAGAGCUGAAUUACAUAGGACAAUAAGUUUUUGAGAAGCCAACUGGGAAACAGAAGAAGGAAGAUGUCACCAGACAAAAGAAGUCUAAUGGGAGGAAUCCGUGGAAUUUUCUUUUGCAUGCUUGUGUGAGUGUCCCAAUAAGCCUUGCGCAUUCUUUGGGAGUUAGAAUAUUGGGACAGAUUGGGAAGGUACCAGGGAUGUAUUGCAAAGUACAACUAAGUCCAUCUAAGGGAUCUAAUAUGCGCCAGGAGUGAGAAGAGAAGCUGUCCAAAAAAGGCCAGUUAUCUUGGGUUCCAUGAGAUUCUUUGCGUGUCUCAAAAUCUCUGGCUGUGAAAGCUAUCCCUCCUUCAUAGCAUUUAUCUUAAAUAAUAGCUUGCUUUUUUUCUAAAUUCUCUCAGAAUUUUUGAUGAGCCAUUUGGAACCUGACUGAUGUAUAUCUCUGUGCUAUAUAUAAAGAAAGGAUUUGUCCAAAAGAAAAAAAAAAAAUCACACAAACAGGACUAUAAAAACGACACUCAAGAAAAAAAAAACUGCUUGAAAGAGCAGUUUUCAAACACCUUAAGUACUUUAAAACAUGAUUUUAUCAAUUUUC
rnacentral:lncRNA from 1 species